CGAACGCUGGCGGCAGGCUUAACACAUGCAAGUCGAACGCAUCCUUCGGGGUGAGUGGCAGACGGGUGAGUAACGCGUGGGAACGUGCCCUUCAGUUCGGGAUAACCCAGGGAAACUUGGGCUAAUACCGGAUACGUGCGAGAGCAGAAAGAUUUAUCGCUGAAGGAUCGGCCCGCGUCUGAUUAGCUAGUUGGUGAGGUAAUGGCUCACCAAGGCGACGAUCAGUAGCUGGUCUGAGAGGAUGAUCAGCCACAUUGGGACUGAGACACGGCCCAAACUCCUACGGGAGGCAGCAGUGGGGAAUAUUGGACAAUGGGCGCAAGCCUGAUCCAGCCAUGCCGCGUGAGUGAUGAAGGCCUUAGGGUUGUAAAGCUCUUUCGUCCGGGACGAUAAUGACGGUACCGGAAGAAGAAGCCCCGGCUAACUUCGUGCCAGCAGCCGCGGUAAUACGAAGGGGGCUAGCGUUGUUCGGAAUCACUGGGCGUAAAGGGCGCGUAGGCGGCUUUAUAAGUCGGGGGUGAAAGCCUGUGGCUCAACCACAGAAUUGCCUUCGAUACUGUAUGGCUUGAGACCGGAAGAGGUAAGUGGAACUGCGAGUGUAGAGGUGAAAUUCGUAGAUAUUCGCAAGAACACCAGUGGCGAAGGCGGCUUACUGGUCCGGUUCUGACGCUGAGGCGCGAAGCGUGGGGAGC
rnacentral:rRNA from 1 species